GAAUGUAGCUCAGUGGUAGAGUGCUUGCUUACCAUUUGCAAGGCCCUGGGUUCAAUCCCCAGAGCACAUACA
rnacentral:tRNA from 1 species